AGAGUUUGAUCCUGGCUCAGAUUGAACGCUGGCGGCAGGCCUAACACAUGCAAGUCGAGCGGUAGCACAGAGAGCUUGCUCUCGGGUGACGAGCGGCGGACGGGUGAGUAAUGUCUGGGAAACUGCCUGAUGGAGGGGGAUAACUACUGGAAACGGUAGCUAAUACCGCAUAAUGUCGCAAGACCAAAGUGGGGGACCUUCGGGCCUCAUGCCAUCAGAUGUGCCCAGAUGGGAUUAGCUAGUAGGUGGGGUAACGGUUCACCUAGGCGACGAUCCCUAGCUGGUCUGAGAGGAUGACCAGCCACACUGGAACUGAGACACGGUCCAGACUCCUACGGGAGGCAGCAGUGGGGAAUAUUGCACAAUGGGCGCAAGCCUGAUGCAGCCAUGCCGCGUGUGUGAAGAAGGCCUUCGGGUUGUAAAGCACUUUCAGCGGGGAGGAAGGCGAUAAGGUUAAUAACCUUGUCGAUUGACGUUACCCGCAGAAGAAGCACCGGCUAACUCCGUGCCAGCAGCCGCGGUAAUACGGAGGGUGCAAGCGUUAAUCGGAAUUACUGGGCGUAAAGCGCACGCAGGCGGUCCGUCAAGUCGGAUGUGAAAUCCCCGGGCUCAACCUGGGAACUGCAUUCGAAACUGGCAGGCUAGAGUCUUGUAGAGGGGGGUAGAAUUCCAGGUGUAGCGGUGAAAUGCGUAGAGAUCUGGAGGAAUGCCCGGUGGCGAAGGCGGCCCCCUGGACAAAGACUGACGCUCAGGUGCGAAAGCGUGGGGAGCAAACAGGAUUAGAUACCCUGGUAGUCACGCCGUAAACGAUGUCGAUUUGGAGGUUGUGCCCUUGAGGCGUGGCUUCCGGAGCUAACGCGUUAAAUCGACCGCCUGGGGAGUACGGCCGCAAGGUUAAAACUCAAAUGAAUUGACGGGGGCCCGCACAAGCGGUGGAGCAUGUGGUUUAAUUCGAUGCAACGCGAAGAACCUUACCUGGUCUUGACAUCCACAGAACUUUCCAGAGAUGGAUUGGUGCCUUCGGGAACUGUGAGACAGGUGCUGCAUGGCUGUCGUCAGCUCGUGUUGUGAAAUGUUGGGUUAAGUCCCGCAACGAGCGCAACCCUUAUCCUUUGUUGCCAGCGGUCCGGCCGGGAACUCAAAGGAGACUGCUAGUGAUAAACUGGAGGAAGGUGGGGAUGACGUCAAGUCAUCAUGGCCCUUACGACCAGGGCUACACACGUGCUACAAUGGCAUAUACAAAGAGAAGCGACCUCGCGAGAGCAAGCGGACCUCAUAAAGUAUGUCGUAGUCCGGAUUGGAGUCUGCAACUCGACUCCAUGAAGUCGGAAUCGCUAGUAAUCGUAGAUCAGAAUGCUACGGUGAAUACGUUCCCGGGCCUUGUACACACCGCCCGUCACACCAUGGGAGUGGGUUGCAAAAGAAGUAGGUAGCUUAACCUUCGGGAGGGCGCUUACCACUUUGUGAUUCAUGACUGGGGUGAAGUCGUAACAAGGUAACCGUA
rnacentral:rRNA from 2 species